CUUGGAUACACUGCAAGAGACAAUAACAGACAAUGAAAUAGAAACCUACCAAGAAACCUGAGGCCUCCAAAAGAUCCAGGAUUUUGGGAUUCCAAACAGAGCUGUCCUAUCUACAGGUAGAACAAGUCUUGUGGCUCACUGCAGGGCAGCAGAGUUGCUGAGUGGAGUUAAGCCUGGCAUGUGCAGGCCUAGAAGCCAGAGAACAGCCAACCUUCAGCGAAGACACCGUACACUGGGUAGUUGUCAAAGGUAAAGCCCAGGACAAUGUGGCAUUGGUAUAUCCUGGGUCCCUAAGGUGUCCUCACAUAUCAAGCAAAACUCAAAACUGGUGAUUCAACUAGAUGGUAGCAUGUCAAACCUAAAUAGGUAGACAGUUUGGGGAGUCGGCUGCCUACUAGCACCUUUCACCCCACAGCUGCCCUGAAAACCCUGAGUUGCCCUGACCUGCUAUCAGACAGAUUUGAUAUAUUUCUUCUUACCUUACUUAAUUCAUCUGUACCUGUCUUGACCAUUCCCUCCACAGGCCACGGUGGCACCUGGAUUCCUUUUUCUUACUUCCUGCUCAGUCUCCUUUGCCAUCUCUUUUUGCCUCUCUCCACCCCUUUGGUGUUUGUGUUCCAUCUUCAGCUUUUUCUCCUCUCACUCUUCUAGUUCUCCCGGAGCGAGUUCAUCCCCUACCUCAGCUUCAAGUAAUCUGGAUGUUGAUAUCCCCCAAACUUCUAACUGCAGCUGAGGCUCCAUCCUGAGCUCCAGACCCAGAUAUCCACUGGCUCAUUAGAUGUCUCCAUUUAAGUUCCUACAAGCACUUCAGAUCCAUCAUGUGGAAUUCAAUUCCUUACUUUCCAUCCUCAAAUUUGCUCUUUCUCCUGUGUUUCCCAUUAACGCGUUACAUUCUCCUGAGUUGUCCAAGCCUGGAACCAGGGUGUUUUCUUCUCUCACCCCACUCUCCCCUCUCAUGGAAAACCCAUCACGAAGCCCUAUUGACUUAUCUGGUCAUUAACUAAAAUCCAUCUGAGUUCAUCACUCACUGCCUCAAUUUUCUGUUUUGCCAUUUACCACUUGCCAAAAACCUCAGGAAGGACCCCUCUUGUUCCCACAUUUGGAGUGAUCUUUUUAAAACAAAACCUGGUUACACUCUUAUCUAAAACUCUGUAUGUCUUUCCAACAACUUGUGAGUUAAGACCAACUUAGCAAGCAUGGCAGACAAGGCCCUUCGUAAUGUGGCUCCAUGUAACUUGGCAAUUGGUAUGUAACUUGGCAAUGGGUCUUCCACUUCCCUACCCUCUAUACAUGUACCCCAAUUUCCAAGCAAGCUGAAAUACUCAGUUUCCUUAACAACUUAGGCUACUUCACACCUUUGUGUCUUGACAAAAAGGGCCUUCUCUGAUCGAUAGGCUUUUUCCCCUCUAGUCCAUCUGGAAAACUCUUCCUCUUUCUAGUUUUAGUUUGAAGGCCUUGCAGGCAAGUGAGGUGCCUUUUACUCUUGUGUAUUCUCUUUUCACUCCUCACACACACCACAAUUCUGGUUCUGAUGAUGCUGUCUGGCCAUAAUUUUAUGCAUAUGUCUGUCUCUCUGGUUUUAAGUAUGCAUCUCAAAAAGGUUGAGAGUCCUUUUAAACAGAGACCCUAUUUUUUUCAUUGUUAAGUUUCUAGUUCCUGGCACAGUGCCUUGUGCAUGCUUAUACCUUAAGUCACUAAACACUUGUUAAACAAAUGAAUACAUGUGCAGAACAGUAAUAAAACCAUAAAAUGUCAUUGUUAGAAGAAAUAUUGGAGACGAUCUCAAAUAACACAUAAUAAAACUAAAUCUCAGAAAAAUUAAGUAAUUUGUCCAAAGCCACACAAUUACAUAGAGACAAAAUCAUGCACUUGGAUUGGUCCUGUGCUAUUUCCACUUCAACACACUUCAUUUUUAUAUAAAUUCAGACUUCUCAUUAUUUUCAAUUUGUCUUCUUCCAGCAAGGAUAAAUGAGAUUUUACUUAGCAAUUCUUACUGUGAUAAAAUCUGAUCAUUGUCCCUUCAUUAUCAACACAAACAUUGUAAUAUUCUUGACAACUGAAGAAAUUACUUACCGGUUCACUCAGAUUAUGUGGUGUGCCAAGGUCAAGCUGCUGGCCCUGAAAUGAAGAAGGAGGUAGUAAACACCAGCCAUCAGUACUGGGUUCCGUGUAACUAACACACCUUUUAAAAAAGCUUCCUGAAAUAACGUUGCCUCCUCCGCAUUUUGUAACUCUAAAGUAAAGAGCCAAAUGUUUUAGAGGCAUUAAAUUCAUCACUACCAGACAAAAUGCUGGUGCAAAUUAUAGAUAUAAUGUCUUAAGAACUUUGCAGGUACUACAAAGGUGGAAGUAAGAAUGUGGCUAUAGGGAGAGAGUCUCAUGCAGAAUUAAAUAAUCCUGUGGCAUUGGUCAGUUAAUCAAGUCAAAGGACUCCUAGAAACAGAGUCACCCAGGCUGGAGCACAGUGGUGUAAUCACAGCUGACAGCAUCCUCGACCUCCCUGCUCAAUCAAUCCUCCCACCUCAGCCUCCUAAGUAGCUGGGACUACAGGUGCAUGCCACCACGCCUAGCUAAUUUUUGUAUUUGUUGUAGAGACAGGAGUCUCACCAUGUUGCCCAGGCUGGUCUCAAACUCCUGGGCUGAAGGGAACUGUCCGCCUCAGCCUCCCAUAGUGCUGGAAUUACAGGCAUGAGCCAUCGCACUUAACCAAAAGUCAUACCUUUUUACAAAAUAUAUCCUGAAAUUUAUUUGAAUCUGGCAGUUAUGUAGGAAUUUUUUAUGCUACAUGGAUAGCAACUCAUUGGUUUGAAUUGUCAUCUUUAUCAUAUUUCACAUUCUUUAUGUACAUGGUUUUAUUUCUUGAUUGUAUUCUGUUUUACUCACAGGUUUAUUCCUGUAGCAAUAAAAACUAUGCUAAUUUGUAAAUAUUUUAUAAAAUUUCUGAAUUAUGAUCUUAUUAUAUUAUUUUGUUUUAAUGUUAUAUAUUGAUAUACAAGACAAUUUUUCAUGUCUGUACAUUAAUUUUUUAAAAAUCUUCCAAAUCCUAUUAUUUCUAAUAGUCUUUCAGUUGAUUUUCAGUUUAUUUCUUUGGAACUUAAGAUACAAAUCAAAAAUAAAUGUAUUGUCAUCACCCUCUAAUAUUAUAAAAGCACAUCAUGUUUGUAACAGCCUUUAACUGUCUAGUGAUAGAAACCUUGAUAUCUCAGUAUUUGAUAACUUACUUUAGGGCAUUGAUUACAUAAUUCACUUCUUUUGUAUUCCGAAUUGCAUCCACCACAGAGCUGAAUAUACAUAGAUACC
rnacentral:lncRNA from 1 species